GUAGAGGCAAUGAAAAGAAGAAGUAGUCGUGGAUGCUGCUGAUAGUGAGUUCCUGAUGGUGGAAAUGGAACAGUAAGCACAGGGUGAACGUGUCUUAGAGCUAAGCUUUCGAAGAUUGAGGAAGCUUCGGAUACUCCCGUUAUGAGUUAAGGGCCUGUACUUUUGUGCAGGAAAUAAGGUGGUACCGCGAUUUUAUAGUCGUCCUUGUA
rnacentral:ncRNA from 1 species